AUUGAACGCUGGCGGAAUGCUUUACACAUGCAAGUCGAACGGCAGCACGGACUUCGGUCUGGUGGCGAGUGGCGAACGGGUGAGUAAUGUAUCGGAACGUGCCCAGUCGUGGGGGAUAACGUAGUGAAAAUUACGCUAAUACCGCAUACGAUCUAUGGAUGAGAGCGGGGGAUCGCAAGACCUCGCGCGAUUGGAGCGGCCGAUAUCAGAUUAGGUAGUUGGGGGGGUAAAGGCCCACCAAGCCAACGAACUGCAGCUGGUCUGAGAGGACGACCAGCCACACUGGAACGGAGACACGGUCCAGACUCCUACGGGAGGCAGCAGUGGGGAAUUUUGGACAAUGGGCGAAAGCCUGAUUCAGCCAUUCCGCGUGCAGGAUGAAGGCCCUCGGGUUGUAAACUGCUUUUGUACAGAACGAAAAGGUUUCUACUAAUACUAGGAGCUCAUGACGGUACUGUAAGAAUAAGCACCGGCUAACUACGUGCCAGCCGCCGCGGUAA
rnacentral:rRNA from 1 species